GUGCCAGCAGCCGCGGUAAUACGGAGGAUGCAAGCGUUAUCCGGAUUUAUUGGGUUUAAAGGGUCCGUAGGCGGGUUCUUAAGUCAGAGGUGAAAGCCUACAGCUCAACUGUAGAAUUGCCUUUGAUACUGGGAGUCUUGAGUAUAUUUGAAGUGGGCGGAAUACGUCAUGUAGCGGUGAAAUGCAUAGAUAUGACGUGGAACACCGAUUGCGAAGGCAGCUCACUAAACUAUAACUGACGCUGAGGGACGAAAGCGUGGGGAGCAAACAGGAUUAGAUACCCUGGUAGUCCACGCUGUAAACGAUGAUAACUCGCUGUUAGCGAUAUACAGUUAGCGGCUAAGCGAAAGCGUUAAGUUAUCCACCUGGGGAGUACGUUCGCAAGAAUGAA
rnacentral:rRNA from 1 species